AAUGGGGGAAACCCUGAAGCAGCAACGCCGCGUGAGUGAUGAAGGCCUUCGGGUCGUAAAGCUCUGUUGUACGGGAAGAACGUCCGGGUGGGUAAUAUCCAUUCGGAGUGACGGUACCGUAUAAGAAAGGACCGGCUAACUUCGUGCCAGCAGCCGCGGUAAGACGGGGGGUCCUAGCGUUGUUCGGAAUCAUUGGGCGUAAAGCGUGUGCAGGCGGCUUUGAAAGUUGGAUGUGAAAGCCCCGAGCUUAACUCGGGAAGUGCAUUCAAAACUCCAAAGCUUGAGUAUGGAAGAGGGUCGUGGAAUUCCAGGUGUAGUGGUGAAAUACGUAGAUAUCUGGAGGAACACCGGCGGCGAAGGCGGCGACCUGGUCCAAUACUGACGCUCAUACACGAAAGCGUGGGGAUCAAA
rnacentral:rRNA from 1 species